rnacentral:rRNA from 1 species
UACGGGGGGGGCAAGCGUUGUUCGGAAUUACUGGGCGUAAAGGGCUCGUAGGCGGCCAACUAAGUCAGACGUGAAAUCCCUCGGCUUAACCGGGGAACUGCGUCUGAUACUGGAUGGCUUGAGGUUGGGAGAGGGAUGCGGAAUUCCAGGUGUAGCGGUGAAAUGCGUAGAUAUCAGGAAGAACACCCGUGGCGAAGGCGGUUCUCUGGGACGGUACUGACGCUGAGACGCGAAAGCGUGGGGAGCGAACAGG